GUAUUUUUUACCUUAUUCCUCAGAUGGAUUGUUGUGGCACUUUUGGUCCAAAAGAUUGGGAACCAAUAUUCCACAAUACCUCGUUGCCAUCUGCAUGCUGCGCUGUUAUCAAUCUAAACGAGGCUCAGGACUGUACUGUGGUUCAUGCUCACUCGGAAGGAUGUCUAAAUAAACUACUCAAACUUCUUGACUCCAAGACGUUGACCCUAGCUGGUGUGGUACUUGGAGUUGCGUGUAUUCAGCUUCUGACUAUUCUCUUCGCUUGCUGCCUGUUUCGUUCGUUCCGUCGUUAAUA